UGUAGGUUGGCGACGACUGAUCUGUUAUGUUAUAGCAAUAAUGUUUGUUCUUUUCACGUCUGGUGAAUAGAUAAUCGAAUGAGAAUCUGUAUAAUAUUGUGAAUUAAAUCUAUUCGUAACGGAGUGCCAUGAAUUCGAUGCCGAAGGUGUAGGCGAAUGCUGAAUAAUUUAUGAGUCCCAACGCCGACAAACGAUUUACAAAAGCAUCAGUCCUAAUCAGCAGGUUUUCUAAAUUAUUAAUUUCACUAUCGAAACUGUCGUUUGACUACAUGACAGACUGAACUGCUUGCUGAAAACAGACUUUUUAACACUACAGUGAGCGUUGUCGUUAGAAGAACGUCCAGCGUUUGAUGUGAUGAAAAGAAUACUUAGGAGAUGCAACAUAUCUACUAAAGAGACUACCUACACUACACUUACCUGUCCUCUUUUGGAGUACCGCUGUGUGGUGUGGGAUCCUUACCAGAUAGGAUUAAUGGAGUACAUUGAGACUGUUCAAAGAAGGGCAGCACAUUUUGUACUAUCAAGAAAUAGGGGAGAGUCAUGUAUGCUUGGUAUCCUAGAGAUUGUUCUGGCAUAUCGACAAGUGCUGACGCAAAGACGAAGAUCACAAUAGCUAAGAAGGCGGUGAGACAUCAUCAGCCAAUAGCCCGCUGACAAGGACAGGAGCACCCUCUAGCCGAAGGAAAUAUAAGCGCCGCUCCUGCCAGCCUUGGCGGACCAUAUUUGCACAGUACUAGGAGAUCACUAUGAUGGCAGUGAUGUGUGAUCCAUAUCAAUUGCUUACAUGGACCUUGUAUACAGUAAAGGACUUUGAUUGUUUGCAUGUGCUCAUUGCUUGCGACACCAUUGUAAAUUUGAAGUUAAGUAUUGUCAAUCUUCUUAUUCGUAAUAAAUACUAUUAAUGUGA